rnacentral:tRNA from 1 species
CAAAUUAGAGCUUGAUUUUAAGUUUUUCAUUUACAUUGAAUAGAUAUUAUAUAUUUAUAUAAUUAAUUUGA